UUCAAGUAGGGCUCCCUCAGUGACGAUCCCAUCGACUUAUGACACAUAAUCAGUGCCACUCACAAGUAUAUUAUUUUAUCCUAUUUUAUUUUGCAUAACAGGAAGCACACCUCUUUAUUUCUUAGUGAUCUUGUUGCUUUUAUUUAUAGAUAGAGAUUCGAGUAGGGCUCACUCAAUGACGGUCCCAUUGAUUUAUGACACACAAUCAGUGCCACCUACCACAGAUACAUCAGCAUCAGGAGCCACAGAUACAUCGAUGGUACCAGCAGCAGCAGAUGCAGCAUUAGGAGAAAAUGCCCGAUACAGACAGAGAGUGAUGCAUCUAUUUGGAUUGGAAUUGAGUUAGAGAUUAGGAAAUAUACUUUUGCUGCUGGUGUUGAUCACGCUCUAGUGCGACAUGUGUGGGAGAUUACUGCAAAAGCUCGACUCCAUCAUAUGCUUUUUCUUAUGAGGAAAGAGGCAAAGAAAAAAACAACAUUGAUGAUUUGGCUGAGAUGAUUAAUAAUCCGCUAAAUAGUAUCACCACUAUGAAGUGAAGGAGCUUGGUGGAUAAAUGGAAGAGAAAAGGUUGACAUAUUGUAAUAAUUUCAUGACAUAAUUUUAUACUUAAAAUAUUGAUUUGAUCAAUAAAAUGAUAAGUUUUAUUUUU